UAGUUCUGGCCUGCCCUGUCCAAGCACAGAGUAGGAUCACGAGGCCCAAAUGAAAAUAUGGGCUUCUUGAUUCCUAAAGCGGGGCGGACCGCAUGAGGCUGGCUUCACAGAGCAGUGAACAGCUCCCGCUCUGUGCAGUGGAAGGAUAAUGGGUCGGUGUCUUAUCAAGUUCAGUAACGCCUAAUGGGUUGCUCCAAUAAACAACCACCUUU
rnacentral:SRP_RNA from 15 species